rnacentral:rRNA from 1 species
AUUGAACGCUGGCGGCAUGCUUUACACAUGCAAGUCGAACGGCAACGCGGAGAAGCUUGCUUCUCUGUCGGCGAGUGGCGAACGGGUGAGUAUAGCAUCGGAACGUGCCAAGUAGUGGGGGAUAACCAAACGAAAGUUUGGCUAAUACCGCGUAAGCUCCAAGGAGGAAAGUAGGGGACCUAAAUAAGGCCUUACGCUAUUUGAUCGGCCGAUGUCGGAUUAGCUAGUUGGUGGGGUAAUGGCUCACCAAGGCAAUGAUCCGUAGCGGGUCUGAGAGGACGAUCCGCCACAAUGGGACUGAGACACGGCCCAGACUCCUACGGGAGGCAGCAGUGGGGAAUUUUGGACAAUGGGGGAAACCCUGAUCCAGCCAUGCCGCGUGUAUGAAGAAGGCCUUAGGGUUGUAAAGUACUUUUGUUAGGGAAGAAAAGCUAGUUUUUAAUAAAAAUUAGUGAUGACGGUACCUAAAGAAUAAGCACCGGCUAACUACGUG